rnacentral:rRNA from 1 species
GACGAACGCUGGCGGCGUGCCUAAUACAUGCAAGUCGAGCGAAGUUUUUCUGGUGCUUGCACUAGAAAAACUUAGCGGCGAACGGGUGAGUAACACGUAAAGAACCUGCCUCAUAGACUGGGACAACUAUUGGAAACGAUAGCUAAUACCGGAUAACAAUAUUUUUCGCAUGAAAGAUACUUAAAAGUUGGUUAUGCUAACACUAUGAGAUGGCUUUGCGGUGCAUUAGCUAGUUGGUGGGGUAAAGGCCCACCAAGGCGACGAUGCAUAGCCGACCUGAGAGGGUGAUCGGCCACACUGGGACUGAGACACGGCCCAGACUCCUACGGGAGGCAGCAGUAGGGAAUCUUCCGCAAUGGGCGAAAGCCUGACGGAGCAACGCCGCGUGAGUGAAGAAGGAUUUCGGUUCGUAAAGCUCUGUUGUUAGGGAAGAAUGGAUAUGUAGUAACUAUACAUAUA